CAGCAGUGUCACAGGGGAAGCCAGAAGGGCUGGAUACAAAGUAGUCAAUAUUGUUGGCACACCAGCAUUUGGAACGUCACUUCUGUGGAGCUGUAAGAUGAAGGAAGAAUAGAGGCCACCAUCUCAGUAGGGUAAGAUUUUUCAAGCUCAGUUUGGGAAGCAUAUAGAUGGUCAGUAUUAUUUGCCGUUUUUUAAAAACAUUUUGGUGGUUUUAACCAAAUAUGUAAAUAUGCUCUCAGAUGGGUCGUGAGCACUGAGCUGAAUGUUUAACAAAGGGUGCCAUGCUUCUUGGGUAGUUAGUGUCUAUUGUGGAGCAGUGGGGAGAACAGGACCAUACUUUUAAAGGUACAACUUUCAUUCAGAAAGAGAUGCAGACAUGGGAGGCCUGGAAUAGUAAAGUUAAUCUCUAAAAGAUCUAGCAUCACAAGCCUCACAGCAAAUAAUACAGGUGGUAAUGUGUCUUAUAUUAAUUGAAGAAAAGUGUUCAAUUGAUUGGUGCAUUUGUAUUUUAUAUUAUUGAUAUUUAUAACUUUGUUCAGAGGUCCAUUUGAGUUUUUCCACCCUGUUGGGUAGCUUAUCAGACUAGUGUUGGCUGGUAACAUCCCUUGGCAACAAAAGUCUGUAGGCUGCCCAACACGCUGGGCUUCAUCAUAAGGAGCAACCUUCCCUUUUUUAAAAAUCACUGUCAUCAAUUCCCAUUUUCACUGUUUCAGCCUAGUACAAGUUCCUCUUCACAAUGUUCUGUGAAAUCGAGUUGUGAAGUACAGUUUAAUAAGGAGUAUGGUCUCAGGUUCAGUGGGAACGUGAUCCAUUUUCUGUUUGGUAUUUUUACUUUGUCAUACAUUCCAAGACAGUGAACUAAGGUCCUUUUCUUAUGUAUCACUAGCUUUCUGUGAUGUACUGUUGGGGGAAUCCAAAUGAAAUGUCUUCCUUGUUGUCUAAAAUGGAUCUCAUUUACCUUUUUUCAUCUCUUGUAAACUUCCAGGAUUACCCCACUUACUGUUUAUCUUAAUGGGUACUAAAAUUAUCUCUGGGUAUAGCUGUUUGUGUAGAGCAAUCUUAAGAGGAUCUGACAGACCUGUCUUAGCAAUACGCCCUUAUACAGUGUUUUUGGAAGACUGUUGCUAAGGGGUUCAGUUAUGUGCAACAUUUGACUCUGUCUAUGCAUGUGUAUACUUUUUAUUAAACUUUUUUUUUUUUUCAAAAAAUUAAAAAAUAAAGUUAUGGAUCCUUUUGGGAAA